rnacentral:rRNA from 1 species
CCUACGGGAGGCAGCAGUGAGGAAUAUUGGUCAAUGGACGAGAGUCUGAACCAGCCAAGUAGCGUGAAGGAUGACUGCCCUAUGGGUUGUAAACUUCUUUUAUAUGGGAAUAAAACGUUCCACGUGUGGGAUUUUGUAUGUACCAUAUGAAUAAGGAUCGGCUAACUCCGUGCCAGCAGCCGCGGUAAUACGGAGGAUCCGAGCGUUAUCCGGAUUUAUUGGGUUUAAAGGGAGCGUAGGUGGAUUGUUAAGUCAGUUGUGAAAGUUUGCGGCUCAACCGUAAAAUUGCAGUUGAAACUGGUAGUCUUGAGUACAGUAGAGGUGGGCGGAAUUCGUGGUGUAGCGGUGAAAUGCUUAGAUAUCACGAAGAACUCCGAUUGCGAAGGCAGCUCACUGGACUGCAACUGACACUGAUGCUCGAAAGUGUGGGUAUCAAACAGGAUUAGAUACCCCAGUAGUC